CCUACGGGGGGCAGCAGUGGGGAAUAUUGGACAAUGGGGGCAACCCUGAUCCAGCCAUGCCGCGUGUGUGAAGAAGGCCCUCGGGUUGUAAAGCACUUUCAGUGAGGAAGAACGCCUGGUGGUGAAUACCCAUCAGGAAAGACAUCACUCACAGAAGAAGCACCGGCUAACUCCGUGCCAGCAGCCGCGGUAAUACGGAGGGUGCGAGCGUUAAUCGGAAUUACUGGGCGUAAAGCGCGCGUAGGUGGCUUGAUAAGCCGGUUGUGAAAGCCCCGGGCUCAACCUGGGAACGGCAUCCGGAACUGUCAAGCUAGAGUGCAGGAGAGGAAGGUAGAAUUCCCGGUGUAGCGGUGAAAUGCGUAGAGAUCGGGAGGAAUACCAGUGGCGAAGGCGGCCUUCUGGACUGACACUGACACUGAGGUGCGAAAGCGUGGGUAGCAAACAGGAUUAGAUACCCUAGUAGUC
rnacentral:rRNA from 1 species